rnacentral:misc_RNA from 1 species
CCGCCGGCGUUCCACACCCACGCACACGUUUUGUGUGUGUGUAUGUGUGUGUGUGUGUGUGUGUGUGUGUGUGUGUGUGUGUGUGUGUGUGUGUGUGUGUGUGUGUCAGUGUAUCAGUCUCCGUCUUGUACCCACUCUCUGUUCCCCGCCCCCUCCUCCGACUCGCCUUCUCUUUCGCCUUCCCGCUUUCAUUCGAAAGAUGUUCCUGAAGCUGCAAGUUGUCGAGAAGGGCACAAGGACUUCCAGAAGGCCACCAAAAUCGCGUCUUUCCCAAUUCCUGACCACGUGGAGAGCAGCCGCUUCCUCGUCCGCAGGACGCUGUUUCUUACGACCUUGGCCUUGAGUCGCUUGGUGAAGUCGUCUGCUUCAGGGGUGGCGGGCAGAACGUCGCUGUUGGCGAUGCACUGGUGGUGUACUGUCCCGGUGGCUACAGCGAGCACCAGGAUGUGCCCGCUGAGGCGCACUGGUGCGUACUUAAGCAAGACCGCAAGUACGUGCCCGUCAACUUCAGCGGGCUACCUGCUGCCGUGUCUAUCCGCGAGCUGUGCCGAUUGAAGCCGCUGGGCAUUGCCCUUAUCACUGCUGCCAGUGGCGGCACCAGAAGCAUCGAGGUGCAGCUUCUCGAAGUACGGCUGCAAAUGCGUCGCGGGCACGUGCAGCACGCCAGAGAAGGCCGAAUUCCUGCGCGGCAUCUGGUGCGACUAGGUCAUCUAUAAGAAGCUUGAGGAGGAGUUAGCGGCAGGCAUGUGCUGAUUGGCCCCCAACGGCUUUGAUAUCGUGUACGAGGGAGUGGGCAGCACCCUGCAGCGGAUGGCUGUCGAGCACCUUACGCUGCACGGCCGUCUGGUUUUCAUCGGAUGCAUCAGUGGUGCCAAGAACGGCUCAUCGUGGCAUCACUAUGCCGACAAAGUGGAACAGAACCGACUACGUGCCUCUGCAGAACUUCCUCCAUCGCCGCAGCGCAUCUGUGUUUUGGUUUCUUGCUGCCACAUUUCCUCCGUUCUUCGGGCGUGCCUUGCAAGCAUCCAGAUGCUAGAUACUGGAAAGCUGUAUCAGCGUUGCGGCUGGAGCAAGUGGCUGGCGCGGUGGACUACGUACACCCCGGCAAGAAUGCGGUCCUCCUGGUGUGCGAUUAGGCGUGUGUGCGCUUAUCGGCGCCAACGGGGCUCUUCCUCUGCUUCAAGACACGCAAAAGAGCACACGCAAGCUCUUCGCAUCACUCCCGCCACAUACACGCACAGAGAUGUCCAUGUGUUAUUCUCUCGACCUCUUUGUUGUCUGUCUCCUCCCAGUAUGUACUAGACUCCCAGUUGCACUUUUGCUUUUCCACGCUCUCCCCUCCCCCCUCUCUCCUGUCCUUUUGCGACUCUCUCGCCACUCUCACACUUGUUCACGCAAUCCUCUUCGGCAG